UCCGUUAAGAAGGAAACAUUUUUAUUUUUCCAUUAUCGAAAAAAAAUUAUGGUACAUUGCUGGAUUUGCCAGAAAAAGACUGAAACGAAGCGGAAACAGCCGAGUAGGAACGUGAUGUCAAAACCGGCGAUAAUAGCGUGCAUUGGAAUACAUUGUAAGAACGACGAUGAAUUUUCCAAUAUUUCGGGUGAUGAACCCAAUUCUGAAGGGUCCCGUGAAGAUGAAGAAUAUGACCUUUGUAAAGGUGUUAAAGGUUAUCAGUUUGAGCCAGUUCGAAUGCAGACGAAAUAGCUGCCCACGAAGAAAGGGCCGAGCACCAAGGGAGGAGGAUAUGCCUCGUGUUGGAAACAAAGACUGAUUUGCAUAAAGUGUCUCGAGUGGAGCGUCACUCUCACUUCUCGUUGCGUUGUGGAGGCGACGGUGACGCCGAAGCUGGAUGUGAGAAUCCGUCCCUGCGCCAGCACUUUCUCACACUGAGGCUUCCUCCCCAGCGGCCGAGAUCUUCCUGUAGCAGUAGAUCAUCUCCACCAGAAGCCACAACUGCAGACCGAUGAUGGACACGUACAUCAUCACCUCGGACAAAAUGGAUGCCAUCCCUCGCGUCACUGGUGCACGGGGGUACAACAGAGGUGUAGUCGUUGUAGGCGAGCACACGGCUGAAGACGCACUUGUAGGCGCCCGUGUCGUUGAAGGUGACGUUGGCGAUGUAGAUGGAGCCAUCCUGGAGAUCCAACGUGUGUCUGCUGCCACGCCACUGCACGCGCGACUCAAAGCGCUGGUCCGCAAUCCAGCCGUGCUCGUCCUCGUAGCUGUACAGCUGAGCAGCAAAGCGUACAGUGUGUUGUAUUUCCGCGUCACUGACAUGUGAGAAGUGGACGUCGUCGCGGGCCUUGAAGAGCCAAGUGACGCUGGCCGUGGCCUUGACCUCGCCCCUCCUCUUACACGAGAUGCAGCCCAGCUUGAAUCCUCGGUUG